UGGGGAAUAUUGGACAAUGGGGGCAACCCUGAUCCAGCGACGCCGCGUGUGUGAAGAAGGCCUGCGGGUUGUAAAGCACUUUUAGUGGGGAUGAAAAGUACAUCGCUAAUACCGGUGUAUCUUGACCUAACCCAAAGAAAAAGCACCGGCUAACUCUGUGCCAGCAGCCGCGGUAAUACAGAGGGUGCGAGCGUUAAUCGGAAUUACUGGGCGUAAAGCGUGCGUAGACGGUUAUUUAAAUCGGGUGUGAAAGCCCCGGGCUCAACCUGGGAAUUGCAUUCGAGACUGAAUAGCUAGGGUACGGUAGAGGGAAGCGGAAUUUCCGGUGUAGCGGUGAAAUGCGUAGAUAUCGGAAGGAACAUCAGUGGCGAAAGCGACUUCCUGGACCAGUACCGACGUUCAGGCACGAAAGCGUGGGGAGCAAACAGGAUUAGAUACCCUGGUAGUCCACGCCAUAAACGAUGAGGACUAGACGUUGGAAGGGUAAGCCUUUCAGUGUCGUAGCUAACGCGCUAAGUCCUCCCCNUAANGGUACGGCCGCAAGGUUG
rnacentral:rRNA from 1 species